AUGGGAAUAAAGAUUCAAUGUCCUUGAUUUUUUUGGUAUUGCCAUUAAUAAUCAACCUGCUGGAAGAGUUGUCUUUGAAUUAUUUUCUGAUGUGUGCCCCAAAACAUGCAAGAACUUUCGCUAUCUUUGUACAGGUGAAAAGGGGACAGAGAAAUCAGCUCAGAAGCCAUUACAUUACAAGAGUUCUCUUUCACAGAGUUGUCAAGGAUUUUAUGGUUUAAGGUAGUGACUUCAGUGAAGGAAAUGGUCAAGAAGGGGGAUCUAUCUAUGGAGGAUUUUUGGAAGAUGAGAGUUUUGCUGUUAAACACAACAAAGAAUUUCUCUUGUCAAUGGCCAACAGAAUGAAGGAUGCAAAUGGUUCACAGCUCUUCAUAACAAUGAAACCAACUCCUGAUUUAGAUGGGCAUCAUGUUGCUUUUGGACAUGCAAUCUCUGGCCAAGAAGUUGUAAGAGAGAUGGAAAACCAGAAGACAGAUGCAGCUAGCAAACUGUUUGCAGAGAUAUGAAUACUCAGUUAUGGAGAACUGAUUUCCAAACCUAAAGUUAAGAAAGAAUAAAAGAAAAGGCAUAAAUAAUCAUCUUCCUCCUCCUCGUCUAGUGACUCAGAUAGCUCAAGUGAUUCUCAGUCCCCUUCUGAUUCCAAAUGUGAUUCUGAAGAGAAAUCAAAGAAAAGAAGAUACAUUGGAAAACUUCCUGAAAACACAAGAAGGAAAAGAAGAAGCAAAAGAAAAGCAAGAAGAGUGCAUCUAGUGAGAAUGAAGCUGAGGAUUUAGAAGCACAACCCCAGUCUACUGUCCAUCCAGAAGGGAUCCCUCCUAUACCUGAAAAUAGAUUCCUAAUGAGAAAGUCCUUCUAAAGCUGAUGAAACAGAAAGGAAAAACCAGAGAGAGAGAAAGAGAAAGAAAGUAUAAUCCAUCUAACUCCCAGUCUGCUUUGUACCAGAGAUGACUUUUAGUUACUAGAUCUGGCAGGAAAAUUAAAGGAAUAGGACCAAUGUGCUAUUGAACUCCUUCCAGAUCCACAUCAAGUGAUUAUUUCAGAUUUAGUGAGACUCUUCCACAUUGGAGGCAAGAGAUGCAGAGAGCUCAAAGAAUGAGGGUAUCAAGUGGUGAAAUUUGGAUUAAAGGGGAUAAGAGUGAGUUGAAUGAAAUAAAAGAUAAUUAGAGAAGUCCAGUUAUAAUAAAAGAGAGAAAAAUAACUGAUCAAGGAAUGUAUUUGAGAGUCCAAACAGAAAAAAAUGAAAAGGAAAAGAAAGUUAAAAACUGUAAAUCUAACAUCAAAGAGAGAGAUAUCAGAAGAAAUUCAGAAAAAGAUGAUGAAUAUAAGAAGAACAAAGUGAAAAAAAAGGGACAAAUCUAAAAGUAAGAGUAAGAGCAAAGAGAAAUCAAAGAGGAAAGAAAGAAAUUCAGAACAUAAUAGACAUGAAGAAAAGAGGAUGAGGUCAAGGGGUAAAGAAAGGGAUCAUGAAAAUGUUAAAAAGAAAAGUAGACAGAUUCUUAAGGAAAAGAUCAGGAAAAGGGUAGAAGUAAAGAGAAGUCUAAACAGUUAGAAUCAAGGAGUAAUAAGCAUGGUCACAGUAAAAGUAAGGAAAAAUAUAGAUGUGCACUAUCCAGGAGUAGAGAAUGUGAAUACAACUAAAAAUAAACACAGUUAUAAUGGCAGAACAGGAGAACAAAGCAGAGGUAGGGACAGAAGUGGAAGAGUGCAAUCAAGAAACUAUGACAGAGAUUGCAGCAGAAGUGAGGAGUACCACAGAUACACAGAACAGGAAUACAGGAGAAGAGGACCAUCAAAAGCCAAGCAAGAGCUGGAGAGAAGAACACCACCAGGAAGAUCAAGAAGUGAAGAUGGGAGGAGAAGAAGGAGAGAUUCAUGGAGCUCAGAGAGGGAAGAAAGUAAAAAAAGAAAGAAAAAUACAGAAACCAAGAAAGUAAGAGUUCGCACAGAAACAAAAUUCUGAGAGAAAGAAAAGAAUGUACAACCAGCUAAGAGGACACAACAGCUCAAAUAAUAGCGGGGGAAAAAAAGGCUGACAGUAAUCAAAGUCCCUCUCAAAAAUAAACCAAAGCAGACAGGGCUAUGAAUUAAAGUUCUCAACAUUGAGAAAGAAGGAGGAUAAGAAGAUCAGAGUCUCAGUGGUAAAAGAAAACCAAAAAUCAAAGGGCCAAGAAAAUGCUAUAUACAUGAAGAAAUAAAAAAUUUGAUAAUGAAUCAAGCCCUGGAACAGAUGAAGACAAAAGCGGAUGA